CGACGUAGCGGCGCUCUGGUCAGGUUUCUCUGCUUCGAGAGCGGUGCGUGGGCUGAUGUCGAGGGCGAGGCGGCUGUGCCUCUGCGUCGGGCGUUCCUGGACGGGAGGGUGUUCGCAGAGGCCGCGUAUGGCGGUAGGGAGUUCCUGUUCGACUUCAUGUGGAUGGUGCGCAUCGACGCUGGCACCGCCGAGGAGGUCGCCAUGGGCUGGAUUGAUGACCGCGGGGCCUGCUUCUUCCCUGUGCCAGAGAGCGGGAGGAAGAGGAAGAGGGGCGAGCCUGGGCUGGAGGAUGGGGCGUCGUCCGGGGUGGAUGAGAGGUCCGACAAGAGCAACGACACGGUGGAGUCCUCAAUCCAGCCUAAUCUCCUGCCCCUCUCAAGCACUCCCCGUGUAGCAGGCCUGGUGUGUAGACUGCCAUGGCAAGGCUACAUCCAUUCAUUAUGUACUGCUAUCUCCUCCCUCUCUCUCCUAAUUUGCCUCUUCCAUUCUCUCAUUUGA
rnacentral:rRNA from 1 species